UUACGGCCAUAAUACGUUUGAACACCAGUUCUUGUCCGAAUACCGAAGUUAAGCAAUGACGAGCCUGGUCAGUACCUAGAUGGGUAACCCUUGGGAAUACCAGGUUCUGUAAG